GAUGAACGCUGGCGGCGUGCUUAACACAUGCAAGUCGUACGGUGAAGGAGAGCUUGCUCUCUGGAUCAGUGGCGAACGGGUGAGUAACACGUGAGCAAUCUGCCCCUGACUCUGGGAUAAGCGCUGGAAACGGCGUCUAAUACCGGAUACGAGCUGCGAAGGCAUCUUCAGCAGCUGGAAAGAAUUUCGGUCAGGGAUGAGCUCGCGGCCUAUCAGCUUGUUGGUGAGGUAAUGGCUCACCAAGGCGUCGACGGGUAGCCGGCCUGAGAGGGUGACCGGCCACACUGGGACUGAGACACGGCCCGGACUCCUACGGGAGGCAGCAGUGGGGAAUAUUGCACAAUGGGCGAAAGCCUGAUGCAGCAACGCCGCGUGAGGGACGACGGCCUUCGGGUUGUAAACCUCUUUUAGCAGGGAAGAAGCGAAAGUGACGGUACCUGCAGAAAAAGCACCGGCUAACUACGUGCCAGCAGCCGCCGUAA
rnacentral:rRNA from 1 species